rnacentral:lncRNA from 1 species
UUGUUUCGAGUUUUGUUUAUUGGUUAAAGAUAAUUGUGUACCUGAUUCUUUGAACCAAAACUUAUUGGACACUUGUCAACGUUAUUAACAAAUUAAUUAUUGUGAAUUAGUCUUGACUAUGGUUCACAUGGGAAGAGCCAAACAGUUACUAAUUAGCAUAUAAUGAGAGAUAUGUGAUGAAUAUUCAAAAGUUUGUUGGUGGGGCAAACUCUAUUAAGUAUGGAGAUCAUGACUCAUACAUAUAUUGUUGAGUUAUU